GAUGGACGCUGGCGGCGUGCCUAAUACAUGCAAGUCGAGCGAACAGAUAAGGAGCUUGCUCCUUUGAAGUUAGCGGCGGACGGGUGAGUAACACGUGGGUAACCUACCUAUAAGACUGGGAUAACUUCGGGAAACCGGAGCUAAUACCGGAUAACAUUUAGAACCGCAUGGUUCUAAAGUGAAAGAUGGUUUUGCUAUCACUUAUAGAUGGACCCGCGCCGUAUUAGCUAGUUGGUAAGGUAACGGCUUACCAAGGCGACGAUACGUAGCCGACCUGAGAGGGUGAUCGGCCACACGGGAACUGAGACACGGUCAAGACUCCUGCGGGAGGCAGCAGUAGGGAAUCUUCCGCAAUGGGCGAAAGCCUGACGGAGCAACGCCGCGUGAGUGAUGAAGGGGUUCGGCUCGUAAAACUCUGUUAUUAGGGAAGAACAAAUGUGUAAGUAACUGUGCACAUCUUGACGGUACCUAAUCAGAAAGCCACGGCUAACUACGUG
rnacentral:rRNA from 1 species